rnacentral:lncRNA from 1 species
GGGGAGUCAUUGCUGCUUCUCCAGCAGCAGAACUGAAGAUGCAAGCCAGGUGCCUAGAAAGCAAACGUUUAGGAAACCCUCACUCUCAGGGCUGCAUGGGCGCUGUGCUCCCGACACAGCACCUGCUGACAUUCUGUGCCGUUUCCACCUUGCCUGGCUCACUGUGGUCUCUGCCUUGCCCUACAGCUCUGUCUCCAUCCCUGGGGCUCUAAGCUCUCAGCCAGCUGCCCAUGCUGGCAUCUCAGCUCUCUGCCACUGCAGCCACACCCCUGCCAUCUUCAUGCCUGGGAAGAAGCUAAUGUGAUUGGGCACUGGUUCCAGGCCAGCUGGCUCCAGAGUGCAAGCAGGCUCUGCACACUCAGCAGGCACCAGGAGGAUCUUCCUACCCCCCAACUUGCCAGUUGUCCACCUCCCUGGACCAAGGACCCCUGGGAGACCAGCUUUUGUGCGUGCCCUAACCUCCCCCGCUCCCUGCCAGAGCUGCUUCCUCCUCGCCUGCGAGAAAGCCUUAGCAGCCGGAGCCCAGCUGCUCUACCUUCUCCUCCCCUUCCUCCAGCAAGGAUCCUGGUCGAUGCAUCUGCUGUGCACGUUACGGAUGGCCACGUUGAAGGAUUCCUCUCAGUGUUUGGCAACCAGAGCUCCCAUCUGGGGCAGCCCAGCUCCCUCCGUCAUGUCAUAAAUCACUUUGCUAAAGAUGCAACGUGGCUUUUGGGCAUUUUUCUUUUGAAAAAUCAAUAACUCGUUUAACAAGGGACUGCAUAAAGGAGUGAGCAGUGAAGCCGCCUGUCAUUUCCUUCCAUCAGGAGGGGCAGAAGCAGUGCCCUGCCAAGGUUGGGUGGGGGGGUCUACUCAGAGGGCAGUGAGGCCUUGGGGGUGGGGACAGUAGGCUCAACCCAUUUCCAGCAAACCUGUCCCCUCAUCCCAAUUCUUCCAACCUCCAGACCUGACCAAUGCCCUCCUCUGCUUCAAAAAAACACCUUAGUA